CACGUGUGAACGGCGGCCAUCGAUCCCGCCGAGAUCUCGCAUAUCGUCGCAUCGUCGUUCUCUCCUCCUCAUUAAUGCGCUCCAAAUUAAUUGAAUGGAGCGCUAAUAACCGGCGAGAUUUAUUAAUCAACCCGACCGCGACGAACAACGGAACAAUUCUACGACUGCAAGAGGAGACCACAACUGAGUCCGAAGGGAAGAGAAGGAAGUCGACGAAAACUUUAAAAUGAAAUACUUGCGGUUCAAGAAAAGAAAUUACAAUCACCAAAGUACAUCAUGCGACGAACAACGGUGUACAUACGUUGUAAACACACACCGAUAGAAAGUUACUUCUACCAAAGAGCGAAAGUAAUUGCCAUUCCGGGACAAGUCGAGGUUAUUGAAACAAUUUAGCAAUUCAGCAAACAGAUGCCGGCAAUCAAAUCAAUUUUUGACAGGUCCUUCCUGCGAAUGACAAAUAUUUUUGCGAGGAGAAAUAAAAGUAUAGAAAAUUUUAAACGUGUCAUCCCGUGUAACCGAAUUGAAUAUGUAACCCGGAAAUCCCCGAAAUCCAUGGUUCUGCGAACGAAAUUCCAAACACAGCUCUGCUCCUCGUCGCAAGAUGAUCGAUAUAUUUACGGGAAAACUUAGCUUGUCUGCGUCAACGAGAUAGGAAACUUGCGACAUAGACGGAAGGCCGAAGACUAACAAACCAAGACUCCCGAUAACUCGAAACCCAAUCUCUCGACAAGUACACACGUGUUGACACGCCCGAAUCGACGUGAAAUGAAGUGCACAUUUUAAAGAGCCGACAAAGUCCGCGUGAUAAAUCAAAGAAUAAUUUUUUUAUUAUUGUGACACGUGAUUUGAAAAUUACGCGUUUCAUAAUGCAAAAGAUGAAUAUUUUCCAAAGGGAAAAUAUCCGAGUGUGCCGACACUUUGGCUGCGCGCCGUCGAUUAGUAUGCAAAUGCCUUUAAAUAUUUGUAAUCUCUCCAAAACGGCCGCGAAAUUCACGUUAAUGGGGGUGUAAAGACGGACAAAAAAUAUACUCGCGAUACUACACAAUCACAAAUUGUAAACAUUGGGCAAAAGUGCUCCCCCGAAAGCUUGAGUGUAUUUAUCUUUCGUUAAAGAAUAGUUGGUUAUCACGGA